GUAGUCUCCUCCUCACUAAUGUCACAACGGUUCAUUCCAGGCAGCCAGUAUAACAUACUGCAUAUCCACCUCUCAGGCAGUUGCGCAGGUUUUGUACCAUAUGGAAGAAGACGCCACCUCUCACAUUUAUCACAGGCAACCCAAUCUUCUUCAAUAAAGACAGGAGCAACUGGUGGCUCAGCUCCAGAGGUCAGCUCUUUCACAUCAUGUAUGCCCAUGGCUGAAGGAUCCUUCAUAGGGGUCGCACAUGCCACAUGACUAUCAGCUUUUUUGCAUGGGACCUGUCUUGAUUUAGAAGAAGAUGAAUGCUGUCCUUUACGUGCCUCUAGUUUAGAUUUCUUCAACUUAUCACCUGGAGGUCUACCCAGUUGAUUUGUGGGUUUUU
rnacentral:misc_RNA from 1 species